rnacentral:rRNA from 1 species
UACGAAGGGGGCUAGCGUUACUCGCGAAUCACUGGGCGUAAAGGGUGCGUAGGCGGGUUUUUAAGUCAGGGGUGAAAUCCUGGAGCUCAACUCCAGAACUGCCUUUGAUACUGAAGAUCUUGAGUUCGGGAGAGGUGAGUGGAACUGCGAGUGUAGAGGUGAAAUUCGUAGAUAUUCGCAAGAACACCAGUGGCGAAGGCGGCUCACUGGCCCGAUACUGACGCUGAGGCACGAAAGCGUGGGGAGCAAACAGG